AUGCACCUUGGAAAUCUCGUCCUCACUGUCUUCCUGGGGCAACUGCUGGGCACCAUGGGGCAGAUCACCGUCACCCAGCAAGAAGGACAAGUCACAGUGAAGCAGGGAGACACCUUCCAAACAACCUGCUCAUACCAGACCUCCUACUUUCAAGGCUUGCUCUGGUACCAGCAGAGGAAAGGCCAAGGUCCCCAGCUGCUCUCGUCUCAGGCAGCAGCUGGCCGCAAGCCGAGCGGCCGUCUCACCACGUCGCUGAACACCACAGGGAAAUACAGCCUCCUGCAGCUGGAGGAAGUCGAGGUCUCUGACAGUGCCUUGUACCUCUGUGCUGUGCAAGACACUCUGGGAGACCUGGGGGUCUGGAACCAGCCCCCCCCACCUCCUAUGCAAGAAGCAAUGCCGCAGCAGACGAUUCUGUGUCUGCUACCAGCCCAGUUUCCUGCAGGCUGCAAAUGCUGA